rnacentral:rRNA from 1 species
UACGUAGGUGGCAAGCGUUGUCCGGAAUUACUGGGUGUAAAGGGAGCGUAGGCGGGGGUGCAAGUCAGAAGUGAAAAUCGUGGGCUCAACUCACGACCUGCUUUUGAAACUGCAGCUCUUGAGUGAAGUAGAGGCAAGCGGAAUUCCCAGUGUAGCGGUGAAAUGCGUAGAUAUUGGGAGGAACACCAGUGGCGAAGGCGGCUUGCUGGGCUUUUACUGACGCUGAGGCUCGAAAGCGUGGGGAGCAAAC